rnacentral:snRNA from 1 species
ACCCUCUCUUUAUGAUGGGA